GAUGAAGAACGUAGCGAAAUGCGAUAGGUAAUGUGAAUUGCAGAAUUCAGUGAGUCAUCGAAUCUUUGAACGCACAUUGCGCCCUGUGGUAUUCCGCAGGGCAUGCCUGUUCGAGCGUCAUUUCAACCCUCAAGCCCCGCUUGGUGUUGGGCCCCGCCCGCUGUGGCCGGCCCUAAAGACAGUGGCGGCGCCGCCUGGCCCUCAGCGUAGUACAUCUCUCGCUCCAGGGUCCGGUGGCCGCCUGCCAGAACCCCCCAACUCUGUGGUUGACCUCGGAUCAGGUAGGGAUACCCGCUGAACUUAAGCAUAUCAAUAAGCGGAGGA
rnacentral:misc_RNA from 1 species